AGCGCAGGCGGGAAGACAAGUUGGAAGUGAAAUCUAUGGGCUCAACCCAUAAACUGCUUUCAAAACUGUUUUUCUUGAGUAGUGCAGAGGUAGGCGGAAUUCCCGGUGUAGCGGUGGAAUGCGUAGAUAUCGGGAGGAACACCAGUGGCGAAGGCGGCCUACUGGGCACCAACUGACGCUGAGGCUCGAAAGCAUGGGUAGCGAACAG
rnacentral:rRNA from 1 species